GGAGGGUUCGCAUAGUGGUCUAGUGCACGUCCCUGGAAAGGACGAGUCUGGGAAACCGGACCGAGAGUUCGAAUCUCUCACCCUCCG
rnacentral:tRNA from 1 species